UACGUAGGGCGCAAGCGUUGUCCGGAAUUAUUGGGCGUAAAGAGCUCGUAGGCGGCCUGUUACGUCUGCUGUGAAAUCCCGGGGCUUAACCCCGGGCGUGCAGUGGAUACGGGCAGGCUGGAGGCAGGCAGGGGAGAACGGAAUUCCCGGUGUAGCGGUGAAAUUCGUAGAUAUCGGGAGGAACACCGGUGGCGAAGGCGGCGAUCUGGGUCGAUACUGACGCUGAGGUGCGAAAGCGUGGGGAGCAAACAGG
rnacentral:rRNA from 1 species